GAAAGGCAUAACGUUAACUUAUCCCUGCUUCCCGAUUUCUGCCGGUUCGGUUGUUGUUUUCGCUGUUCGCUGGUAAUGCACGUGCGUACUGCUCAAGUGUGUGGUUGUAAGAUCAUCUAGAAAUCAUUUUAGGAGUUCAGAUAUUGGACUUCAAAGAAUGCUACAGAGAGUCAGCUUUUCACCAUCUGACAGUUGCCAAUAGGAACCAAAAGAUGGCUGCUGCCCAGAAGCAUGUGCUGCGUGUGUAUGUUGCACAAGACACCGCCCUGAAACUUACUCUACUUGAGCGACCAAAGUCAGUGGAAGAGCUGAAAGAAAUAAUGCAAGAGAGGUUCAAGCCGAGACUGGAUGGGGACUUUAGCCUACACUAUGAGGAUCCGGACUUUGAUGGUGAUCUUUGUCUUCUUUUGGACAUCCAGGAGUUACCAGAGAAGGGUACAUUGAGAGUUGUUAGACCUGAAGGUGACACCUCAUCUACUGCAUCUUCUGACACAGACAUACUCCCACAUGUACCUGCGUUACAGCGC